UCUCUGGGUUUUGUCCGGGUCACUGGCCACCUCCCCGGCACCGCCAGCUGGCUUUACGCUCCUGGGUGAUGCCAUGGAGGAGCCAGAAGAGGGACAGGCCACCCCCGGUGUGGGGGAAGCAUCUGGGCAGCUGAGCAAGCCAGGCCUGUCUUUAGAGUUUGCAGGGCAGGCGCUGGCUGGACAGAGCUGCAGCCUCAGGGGCGCCAAGCUGCCUGGUGGGUUCCUAAAAAUUCCCAUAAGCAGCCUCCUUCCCCUCCCAAUUCCAAAAUGAAUGAGAAGCAGAUAGAGGAUUCCUGUCCCAGAGUGUGAGCUUCUGUGCCUGGAGGAACUGGACGGGAGAAUGCGGCUCCAACCAGAGGUCAAAUGGCACGGAGCCACCCAAUCCCAGGCACGGCAGCUGGCUGCCCCCGCUCCCAGCCACCGGGAGGAGAGAAAUCAGGGAUGGGGAGGGGGACCAGAGAGACCCCUCCGAUCAAGAUACUGCACAGACCCCUGCCAGUCAUGGUGCAACCCUCCAGGCUCACGCUGGCAGGUGGGCACUGGCCGUACGUCCACCCACCCCUCGGACAGACUUUGAGGCUGGAUAAUCAACAUCCUUCCCUGGUCCCACGGGAGCCGCAGCCGCAGUGAGUGACGUGUUCCGCUCUCUCUCAGGACCGAGACGGUGAGUUUUCUUCCUGAGAGCCGUGGCCUUCUCUGGUCCUCUUGGAGCCAAGAUGCACUGGACUCUCGAGCUUCCUUCAGGAGAACGCUGGUGUCACGGAGGCUUUUCCAGGGCUUUGGGAGCGAGGCUGAGGGCCCAGUGUCCCCACAUCCCGGCCCUUGUGGCUGCAGGAACCGGCUUGUCUGAACUUUCAGCCCUGGCUUUUUAACCCCCUUUCUUCCUUCCUGAGACAGGCACCCGGGGAAACUGACGUUCCCAGGGGCGCCGAGCCACCCGGUGCUGGGGCAGGGGACCCCUGCCAAGCUCCGGGCUCACGGCUCUGCCAGCCCAGAGCCACGACACUCGGCGUUGGCACCAGGGGCCAGAACUGGUUAUUUUUAGCCCUGAGGAGACUCUGGCUCAGCACACGCUCUGCAGCGGUCCUGGGCGGACUCCCGUGCAGCCUGCGUUCAGCGCUACGCUACGGCCUCCGUCCGACGCGGGGCUCACGCGGUCACGCAUUUCAGUUCAACGGAAAACUCUGUCUCCAUAACCGGCAGAGUUAAAGCCGCGGGAACCGACUCGGAAGUGGGUGGUCUAGGGCGCAGAGCCCCCUCCGGCCCUCACUUUACCCUUCACCUGUAUCACUCCGCGUAGCCUAAUGACGUCGCCAACCACCCCGAGUGCAGAAUGGCUUAGUGCAAUGGAAGUCUAUUUUCCACUCAGAGAGUCUGCUCCAUGGGGUUGGAGGAGCAGGGUUGAGCUCAAGCCUUGACGUAAACAAGAAUCUCAGGAUCACUGGACAUCAAGACCAGCAGGAGUGGCAGGUGUCUCAGGAAUCAUCUCAUUCAGUGUGCUCAUCACAGAAAAGGAAUCAAGUCCAAAGAAGGAGCUUCCAAUGAAACUGCUGGUGCAACCUCAGGAACAGAAGUCUGCGAUCAAAGAGGGUGACAAAGCCUCCUCCUCGUGCCCACAGCUUCAGGAAAGGGGGCUUGGAGGGACCUACGUCCUGACCUUU